AUGAGUCUUGUGAUAUCAGGUUUUUCUCCAGAGCACAGGGACAUAAAUCUCUGUAGCAGCCUCUUGGACUAAUGUGUGCCGCACUGUAAUGAACCAGUCAGCAUUCAUUUUCAGGGUGUGUCAGCUGUCAGCUGGAGUUUCCAGCAGCGCAUGAAACAGUUUCUGUCUCCAGAUCCCAGAGAACUACAGCCCUGAAUGGUCCUACCUUCAUCUUAAAAUUCUCUGUGAUUUCUGGCAUAGAAACAAUGGCAAGUGGACAAGGCCACAGAACAUUUCUAGAAGUUGCCCUGAUUGUCGUUGGGAAUUUGAGGAGAGUGAACACAGAAGCAAAUCAUUCAGAAUAACAUUAUCAAGGGGGAAGUUAGAGAAUUAUUCAAAGAUCUGAGGCUUGAGUACAUCCAGAAUUCUGCAAUUCAUGUGCUAUAAAAGUACUGUGCAUCAGCACUUCCAGUGAAAUUCAAAGUGAACUUUUCUGUACACAUUUAUUGAAGGAUUAAUUGCAUGAGUAUAAUCCAGAUCUUAAUCGAAGGUCUACAGAUCUAAGAUCCACAGGUUCAGGACAUCUUACUUUGAUGAAGACCAUGCUCCGUUCAGUGGGCUCGUCCUCAUUUGGAGACUGACUGCCAGAUCAAAGAAAGUGGCCACUGUUGCAAAAUGAAUUCCUCUGUCAACAUUUGAGCAUGAGCCAUGUGAAGCAUGAUUGAACAUGUCUGCUGUUUUUUGAUCUCAGAAAAUAAAAGAAGGAAAAGUUCUUAA